AUCCCCACCUUCCUCGCCAUCUCUAGCCCAGCCGCCUCCCCCGGGACCCCAUCGCGCCUCCCGCCGCCAGCCACCCCGACCCCCACGUUUUCCACCUGCCCACCCCAGAGGUCGUCGCCCUCCCGCAACUACCUGCUGCCGGUGACGCGCGCCGCCCCCGACCAGGAUCUCAUGCCUCCGCCGUCCCCCACCAGGAUCCAACUAUGGCGGCGGCAUCUCCUCUGCUUCAACCAUGGAGGCCGCUUCCCCCUGCUUCAACCGCAGCGGCGGUCCUCCCUCCGUGCGUUCCACCAGCAACCACCGUCAGCUGGCCUUCUUCUGUGCAGCGGUGGUGCAUCCCCUACUCCCAAAUCCAGGCGCGGCCCCCAACCCCUUCUACCACAUGAUCCCGGCCUCGCCGGUUGGCGACGGCGCUGUCCACCGCUCGUGGCUCAUCCCCCCAGCACCGUUGAGGCUCAGGUCCCGCAUCCUACAUCCCUCCCUCAAAAAUGUCGCUCCGACCUUCUUUCAGAGAGCCAGCGACAGCUCUGCCUUCCUGCAGUUGGACAUGCUCCUCCAUCGAUGUUCGCGCGGUCAUCCGCUGCACCGGCAACAUCCUCUCUCCGGCCAACCUGCAGCUAGGGGAGGUCUCGAACUGCAGCUGGAGGAGGUCUCGACCUGCAGGCGGCGAUCUUAUUAAAAGAUCAAGAUGAGCUCAAGCAAGUUAGCUAGCUAGGCGCCCCUGACUGAAUGACCCAACCACGUUAAACAACAUGAAAUAGGCGAGAGAGAGACAAUCUGGGUUACAUAGUUUACGUUAGCUCUACAGAGAAAAUAUAUGUUCGUAUUCUUGCACUAUUGUGCUAGCUAACAAAACUUAUUAUUCAGUGAUUUGCACAAACACUUCACCUGGAGGUAUCGACUGCAGCUUGUCGCGUAUGUCGCUGCCGCCGAGGUCCACCACAUACGGCCGACGCUGCAGCAACCACCCCCCACCAUUGUCUGUUGCCGAUGCGUGCAACCACGUCCAGCCGCCCACUGGAUGUGGGCAUAGAGGCAGGGCCAUGCCGAGGGAGCUCGAGCUCCACCACCCACAGCCGGUUCCCCUGCAGGUUGCAGCGGAAAAACAAAAAGCAGAAGUUCAAGAUGAAAUUUGAAGAAGGAAAUAUGCAACAAUCAAAGAAGUCGCAGUCUUAAUACAGAGAAGGAGAACGCCUUGCGAUCCAGCCAGCCGAGUUGACUCCUACCAUCGGCACUGCAUAAUUAUCACUGGAUGCCCAUGGCCACCGGUGCUUGAUAACUAGCAUUAAAUGACUUGCAAUCCAGAAGAAAGUUGCGCCCCUGUGGAGAUCUAUAAUGUUGUGCAGUUGGUCGUGAUGUCUCCUGGAGCUUCAAUUUUAUGACCCUGAUGCAUUUUCUUCUUUUUUGAUGUUGUAUUUGAUGCAUAAAUUAUCACUGGAUGCCCAUGGCGUGUGCACAGUAUGUGUUUGUGUUAGUUCCCGACAGGUUCCAUCAUGUACUAAAUGGUGAUGGAUAGAGAGAUCCAUUAUUCAUUUGUAUAGAAGUUCAAAUUUAAAUAAAAUAGAGGUUCAAUGUUUAUGAAAGCUACUUUAGUAAUUCUUUAUUAAAAGUGUACUGGCGUUGCAGGUGGCAGCCGCGGCAUU